rnacentral:rRNA from 1 species
GGUUAACCUGCCCUAAGGUGGAGAAUACUCCCGGGAAACUGGGGCUAAUGCUCCAUAGUGGAUAUGUCCUGGAAUGGUAUAUCCUCGAAAGAUCCGUCGCCUUAGGAUGGGACUGCGUCCGAUUAGGUUGUUGGCGGGGUAACGGCCCACCAAGCCUUUUAUCGGUACGGGUUGUGGGAGCAAGAUCCCGGAGAUGGAUUCUGAGACAUGAAUCCAGGCCCUACGGGGCGCAGCAGGCGCGCAAACUUUACAAUGCGAGCAAUCGUGAUAAGGAAACCCUGAGUGCCUGUCGAUGCAGGCUGUUCAUAUAUCUAAAUCAUAUGUGAAGAAAGGGCAGGGCAAGACCGGUGCCAGCCGCCGCGGUAAUACCGGCUGCUCGAGUGAUGGCCACUAUUACUGGGUUUAAAGCGUCCGUAGCUUGACUGUUAGGUCUCUUGGGAAAUCUUCGCGCUCAACGUGAAGGCGUCUAAGAGAUACCGGCAGUCUUGGAACUGGGAGAGGUAAACCGUACUUCGGGGGUAGGAGUGAAAUCUUGUAAUCCUCGAGGGACCACCUAUGGCGAAGG